GGCCUCGUGGCCCAAUGGCAAGGCGUCUGACUACGAGAGAAUUCGCUAAUGAGUUGAAUUCUUAAAGCAAUCAGGAGAUUCUGGGUUCGACCCCCAGCGAGGUCA